GAGGAAUAUUGGUCAAUGGGCGAGAGCCUGAACCAGCCAUGCCGCGUGAAGGACGAAGGCCCUACGGGUCGUAAACUUCUUUUCCAGGGGGCGAAACGGCGUUCGAGAAACGCACUUGACGGUACUCUGGGAAUAAGCAUCGGCUAACUCCGUGCCAGCAGCCGCGGUAAUACGGAGGAUGCGAGCGUUAUCCGGAUUUAUUGGGUUUAAAGGGUUCGUAGGCGGCCUUUUAAGUCAGCGGUGAAAUACCGGGGCUCAACCCCGGGGCUGCCGUUGAUACUGAAGGGCUCGAGUGGGUUCGACGCCGGCGGAAUGAGGCAAGUAGCGGUGAAAUGCAUAGAUAUGCCUCAGAACACCGAUAGCGAAGGCAGCUGGCGAGGAUGACCACUGUCGCUGAGGAACGAAAGCGUGGGGAUCAAAC
rnacentral:rRNA from 1 species